GAUGAAGAACGUAGCGAAAUGCGAUAAGUAAUGUGAAUUGCAGAAUUCAGUGAAUCAUCGAAUCUUUGAACGCACAUUGCGCCCCUUGGUAUUCCGAGGGGCAUGCCUGUUCGAGCGUCAUAUUAACCACUCCCGCUUGCGGGGUCUUGGGCUUCGCCUCCGGGCGGGCCUUAAAAUCAGUGGCGGUGCCGUCGGGCUCUACGCGUAGUAAAUUUUCUCGCGAUAGGGUCCCGGUGGAUGCUUGCCAACAACCCCCAACUUCUGAAGGUUGACCUCGGAUCAGGUAGGGAUACCCGCUGAACUUAAGCAUAUCAAUAAGCGGAGGA
rnacentral:misc_RNA from 1 species